CACUCUGGAAAGCGGGUAGCCCUCAUGGGCUGCCCCACCGACGGGGGUAAUCGCGGGAUGGCGCAUGGCGCCGUCCAGGCGGGAAAUCUCUCAGGUCCACAGACAGAGGG
rnacentral:ncRNA from 1 species